rnacentral:rRNA from 1 species
GAAAUGAAUCAUUUUUUUUAUUAUAAGGAUCCAGUUUUGACUGAAAAAAGCAAAAGCUACCGCGGGGAUAACAGGGUAAUUUUUUCUGAGAGUUCAUAUUUAAGAAG